rnacentral:lncRNA from 1 species
GGCUAUGCCUCAAUUGAUAAAGUGAACUAAUUGCCUACUUCAAAAGCAGUUUUGCAUGAAAGUCAACAUCUAAUUGGAAUUUACAAUGCCCGAUAUUUCUACACAUCUGCCACAAAUUUUAUGGAAAACAAUAUUUAUAGAAACUGAACAUACCUUGGUUAAACGUAUAUGAAAUGGGUAACCAUCCUCGAAGAAUAUCAACCAGCUGUCGGCAAUGUGCAGGUGGACUGAGGAAUUUUCCAGUGUAUCCUUUAUGGACUGUACUCCGUUUUAGCACUAUCCUCAAGUUUUACCCGAGAGGCCAUGCUUCAGGUUGGACCGUCUUCCAUAUAUCUACUGACUUCAUAUAAAUGAAAGUGUACUAAAGGCUCACUGAUCUACACUACCAGCUCAUGCUCAACGUUACUGAACAACAAAGUAAUCCGACAAUCAGACUGGACCCGGUCAUAUCAGGUACCAAAGGAAAACGAAAAUAUCAUUGGUUCUAUACUGAUGCAUGACUUCGCUCGGAACGCGGCAAGAAUUAACAAUGGAAGAAAAUACUACAGACGUGUUUAUUAACAAUAAAGUUAUUUUUGUUUUUAUGAAAUAGCGAUUGAAUAAAAAUAUUA